rnacentral:lncRNA from 1 species
CUUAAAUAAGUUGGGAGGCAAACAAACAUCAUAGAUUAUUAGGUGGAUUAUAUAAUCUAGAGAACUAUUUAUCAAACAGGGCCUUAAUCACUAAUAAUCCUGGAAGGAAACAAACAGGGCCUUGAUCACUAAUAAUCAAAAUAUCCCACAUGAGGAUACAAGCAGGGUUACUUGCGAAACUAUUUAUCCUUGCUACAGUAUGUACCAAUAGGCAGCCACACUCUUGGUGGCAGCAGAGGGUAGGGACUAACUGGGAGUCAUCCAGCAGAGGGAAUGUAUGCUCGUUGACAUCAAAACAUCUAGCGGAGUGACUGGGAGUCAUAUUCACAUCUGAACCUGAAAAACAAAGAUGGGGAGAUCUUUCAGCUCGUCCAAAAUGUUAUCCAACAAAAAGAAGCAUAACGAGUUUCAUAUGAUUUGUAGUAGUAUCACUUGAUCUUGUGGAAACAUUAGAGCUUAGAAGAAACAAUAAAGGAAAGCCCAAGUAUAAUUGUAACAAGGGUCGUUACAAAUUCUACCUACUUAGGGCAUGUUUGGGACUGCUCGAGACACUCCACCGUGGAGCUGCUCCACAAAAACCUAGAGUUUCUGGAGCACCUCUUUAUGUGGCUCUAACAACACCUUUUUCCUGUAGCACCUCUUUAUGUUGCGUCACCUUUCGGGGCGUUUUAUUCGGCCGUUUCGUUUUAGCUGGUGACCGGAGUUUCUUUGUUGGCCGAUCACAUAGAACGGUCUUCUUGCUAGCAUGUUUGGAGAGCAACUGAUCAAAAGUAGAGCCGGGUCGGCUUUGACCAGCCGACCAUGUGUGCUUUGCCCCUGUGUCUCCUUUUUCACUGUGUAGAGGCUGACGCCUCUGGCCAUGGGUGGACUGUCCGACUGAGUCAAUCGGACCGUCUACAUCAGCAUCGGAUGGUCCGUACCUAGGGCUCGGACGGCCCGCGAUGCUCGCGUUAGGGAGCUUUGCUCGACUGAGUCUGCCCCCCGACGCCUCCGAACUUGUUAGUCUUCUUGUCCCGAAUCUUCCGAGCAAUCCUUCCUUGUGAUAUACUCAACGUGCGAGGAUCACCGAUGACAUGUUUUUGUCUUUGCCUUUAUCAGCCACUUCGGGCCGAACCAAGACCUUUUUGCUUGCUAGCUCUAUCAUAUUGACAGGAAAUGGUUGCGUGUCCACUUGCAUCUCCUGAAAACUCAUCCGGUCCUCAUUUACGGCCGAUUGUAUCUGUCGACGAAAAACAUUACAAUCAUUGGUGACAUGGGAAAAAGAAUUAUGCCACUUGUUGUAAGCACGUCUUUUUAAUUCAUCUAGAGGGAUAGUGUGCGUUAAUUUAAUGUUGUCAUUUUUUAGUAGCUCGUCAAAUAUUUUAUCGCAUUUGGUAAGAUUAAAAGUAAAUUUAACUUCUUGUCGAUUUUUUUGAACCGGCUGCAAAGAAGAACAUGCAGAAGAUUUGGCCUUCGUUGGCCAAACAAGCUCAGUGAUAUAUACAUCUAUGGAUUCAUUAUCAGAACUAUCACGCUCUACUAGAUGUAUAGUACGUGCAACCGAUUUUGAUGUCUCUUUACAUCGGCUUUCACAAGCCAAAACCUGCUGAUGUAGCUGAUCUAUUGAAAAGAAUUGGGUGACAUCUAAUUUGUCUCUUAAGUAGGAUAGCAACCCAUUAAAAGUCAGCCCUGCUAGCUCUUUGUUUGCGACAUGGAUCCGAAAGCAUCGUUUUCUAGUGACCAGAACCUCCGAAUAUAACCAUUAACCGAUUCUUCGCGUCACUGUCGGACUGAGGCUAAAUCAGCUAACCCUAAUUCAUAUUCCCCGAAAAGGAAAUGUUCAUGAAAUUUACUCUCUAAAUCAUUCCAGAAAUUAAUGGAAUUAGGAGGCAAGGUGGCGUACCAUGAAAAAGCGGUACAAGUAAGGGAUAAAGAAAAUAAACGAACACGAAAGGCUUCCCCAUCGGCUAAUUCGCCUAGGUGUUCUAGGAACUGGCCUAUAUGUUCGUGUGUGCUUCUACCAUUUUCACUAGAAAAAAUAGAAAACUUUGUUAUCCUUGCCCCUUGUGGAUAUGGGACAAUGUCAAACCAGUGAUUAUAUGGCUUUUGGUAUGACUGCCCUACUCUAGCUACACUAACUCCGGCCUAUCUCAAAAUAGUUUAACCAUCUCUUCCCUAAUGUUCUCCAUUGCGUCCGAUGGCAGACCACCAGACCCUAGACUGUAGGGCUCAUUCAGUCGGGCAUUGCUAUGUCGACCUUCUUGCCGUGACCGAUCGAUUAUGUUGAUCGGCAUGUGAUCAUAUGGUGCGCUGUGGUUUAAAUAUGUAGGGGGUGGAACGUACUGCUGUUGUGGUGUGUAAUAAUUUGGUGCAUAGUGUGCAACAAUAGGUUCUGUGUAUGCGUAUCCAGACUGUCCGAUGGUAAAUCUGAACUACCCGGUUGUGUUCGCUACUAUUGGGGUGCCACGCGGUGGUCCUGGUGCAGCCCCGAACUGUCCGACAGGGAAAGCCAGACGGUCCGCGUAAGGGUCGGCUGUCCGGGCAAAAGUUUGGACAGUCCGACCAUGUCCAGGGGCGUCGAUCUGCCAAACAGGAACGGCGGUGGUGGUAUUUGUCCUGGAUACGAGUUCAUCGACAUACCAUAUAAUGGUUGGGGCUGCGAAUCCCCAUUUGUUGCCGAUGUAUUAGACAUCGAUAUCCUAUUACUACUUUCAUAUGAUGGAAAACUAGGAGCAAAAGACUUCUCCAACGCACGUGUUAAUUUUCUAAUUGAUUCUUCUAACCCUCCAAUCUGUUGUUUCAUUUGAUUAUGCUGCUGAUCUACAUAAUGUUUAAUAGAUUGGAUGUCGUCGGGUUUACUUACGUUAGGGACUUGAAGCGAGGAUAGAAGAGAUGCGACGUCGGUCUCUCCAUGUUUGACAACCUUCUGGUGGCGAUCCAACGUGUAUUGUGACAAGAAUUUCUCCUUCGCUUGACGCAUGUAGUCUCUGUAUUGCUGUUGCCCCUCAACCGUCAGACUUUCAACAGCCGGCUUCAGGAUAUUGUCCGGGGAAAUAUCGGUGUGAUCUUUAGAACCGGCCAUUUGAGGGCCUGAUUUAUAGUAGAUCUAGAUACCUGGUCCCCAACGGAGUCGCCAAAAAAGUGUGUUGGCGUCGAUCUAGGCGCCAAACACUGGAACGGACCGCCUGACGGUGCUCUCUACGGAGGUGCAGACGGUCCGCGGCAUAAGGUCGGACGGUCCACGGCAUAGGGCCAGACGGUCCAUGACCUAGGCGCAGGAGCGUCUCCUAUUCUGCGUACGUCCGGACGAUCCGCACCUAGGGCUCAAACGGUCCGCGAUGGCACAGAGGGUCUUCUUCGCAGCAGACCUAGAUCUCGCCUCCUGAAAGGGACCCCGUCGGGGAGGAGAGAUCCUAGGGUGUGUCUUGGUGUCGGCACGCCACCCAAGACGCCUCUAGUCGACGUAGAGCCGAAGAGAGGUGAAGAUUUGAGGUAGAGGGGAGCUAAACUAGGGCUAAACUAGAGCUACUCCUAAUGCAUAAGGUAAAAACAAUAAGUAGAUUUGAUUUGAUCCAUUGUGGGGGGUUCAAUCAGCUGUAGCCCUUCAUCUAUAUCAAGAGAAGAGGUCUGGACCCGUUACAAGUCGGUUCUUGAGUUAAUCUCGCAGGCUUAGCUAACAAAUCCCGCAAGAAAAUCAGAACCCUAAUUGAUUCUGCGCACGCGCGGACGGUCCGCGCCACUACGGCGUACAGUCCAGACCGCGGACCGUCCGGCCCCAGGCGCGGACAGUCCGCACUACCAUAGUUGGAGCUCAACACCUUCCCAUACAAGUCCCAACUCCCAAGCAAAGCUAGAGCUUUCUUCUCCAUGGUACUGAUUUCUAAGGUUGGGGAUGGAUCAAAUACACUGUUCUAGACUGAUAGAUGGUUGCAUGGCAAAAGAAUCUCUGACAUUGCUCCCAGGCUGUAUACUUUAAUCCCAAGAAGAAUUAUCAACUGAAAGAAACCUUAUUGAACAGAAGAUGAAUUUCAGAUAUAAAAGGGGCUCUUACAGUUGAAGUCUUGGCAGAUUAUCUAAAGCUUUAGGAAUCCCUCUCAGAAAUUGGGCUGCAGCCAAACACAGAAGAUAGACACAUUUUCAGCUUAACUCUAGAUGUCAAAUACUCGGCAAAAGCAGCAUAUAAAGGUACUUUCUUAGAAUCCAGUACCUUUGGCCACUAUAAAAGAGUCUGGAGAACUUGGGCCCCAUCAAAGUGCUGCUUUUUUAUUUGGCUUGUGGCCCAAAACAGAUGUUGGACUACUGAUCGAUUGGCAAAAAGGGGGUCUGAAUCACCCAAACAUUUGUCUAUUAUGUGAUCAAGAGGCUGAAAUCCUGAACCACCUCUGUGUAUCCUGCGUUUUUGCAAGAAAUUUCUGGUAUAAAUGUUAAGAAAAUUUGGGUUACACAUCCUAGCUCCACAACCAAGCCUCACAUCCUUUUUGGAAUGGUGGAAGUUGGCUUCAGAGGCAGUAUAGAGGAUGGUCAAGAAAGGACUGGAUUCUCUCAUCAUUUUGGGAGACUGGAUGAUUUGGAAUCAUCGCAAUAGAUGUGUGUUUGAUGGAGUGACACCCAGCCUAUCUCUAAUUCUUAAGCAGGCUGAUGGUGAGAAGUCUUUCGGAAUUAGCUGGACCCAAGGGACUUUCCUAUUUGGUUGUUCCCUUGCCUAACUCUUGAUGGCUCUUUCUUUAGUUGGUGGUAGAAGUGUGAUUUUCAUGGACCCUUCCUAUAUGCUUAUUUCUAGCCUCCGUCAGGAGUGCUUUGUAAUUUGGUCUUCUAUAGACCUAUGUUUUUCCACAUUUAAUAUAAUUUAAGGUGCAGUUCCCCUGCGCUUUCGAGAAAAAAAAAACAAAUGAGCCAAAGCUCACGAACCUAGUGAGCUUGAGCUCGAAUAGCUCAAGUAUAAGCUCAUAUGUUUCUGGGGUUUGUUUUCUCCAGACAAAUCUGGUUUGAGCUGCUCUAGCUUGGUGGCCUCCAGAAUCUAUGCCUACAGCAGAAUAAGUUAUCUUUUGAGGUCUGGUGGAGGGAUAGUAGCUCAAGAGUUGAUCAGUUGACAAAAGGCUUCAAUUGCCUCGUGGUUCUUGGUGCUUGGAUGAUCUGGAAGCAUCGAAAGAGUUGUGUUUUGGAUGGGAGUGCUCCUAAUGUUGGCACUGUUCUGACGAUGGCCAGGGAGAUAUCCUGCUGGAUUCUUGCAGGAGCAAAUGCCCUCUCCUCCCUGCAGAUUGGAGAGUUGAUAGGAUAGUGCUUAGAUCGUGUGAGGAGGGUAGUUUGUGAGUUGUGUACAAUGGAUGUGUUCACGUACGGUGUAUACUGGCCGCCUUAAGGAGGCCUCCUUUGUAUCUUUGAUGGACUAUUUUGGACCUUUUUCUCCUUAAUAUAAUGAUGUACAGCUCUCCUGCGUAUGUGAGAAAAAACUCAUGUUACUGCAUAAGCUAAGACUCUGCAUAGAUAUGAAUUCUAAUUUCCUAGACCAACUAUGUUGUACAAGUCACCUAGGGCUAAGGAACAAGGCAAUAGCUCAACUGCUCAAGUCCAAUUAGUCUUAUAGUAUCUGGUUACCUAAGCUUAUGGUUGACAAAAAACCUUGAAGCUCACAACUUUUACCCCUAGGGUUACUUUUUCCUCUGUCGGCAGCAACACAACUAGAGUUCACUCCAAUUAUUCAAUCUUCUACGUCCAAGUGUUGAUCGCCUUAAGUAGGGAUGUAAAUGGUACGAAUAUUAUCCGUCCAUAUUCGAGUUGGAUCCAUUUAAGAGGGCUCAGAUCCGAUCUGUAUCUGAGCCGAGUAUUCAGUAUUCGAUCCGUAUACAAUCUAUAGAUUUUCCAUGUAAGUACCUUGGUCUGCCUUUGUCUCCCAAGAAACUCACAAGGGACCAGGUUCAGGCCAUCGUUGAUAGAGUAGCUAGCCUUCUGCCAGGAUGGAAAGCUGAACUUAUGACCCGGGCUGGUAGAGCUAUUCAUGUGCAGUUUGUCAUGACGGCAAAGAUGAUUUAUGCAGCUUUGGCACUUGACCUUCCUGUUUGGGCCAUCAAAGCAAUUGAUAAGCUGAGGAAGGGCUUCCUUUGGAGGGGCAGGAAAGAGUUCCGUGGUGGUCAUUGCCUCUUGGCUUCGCCUAAGGUUACCCGUCCCAAGGAGCCGGGUGGUCUUGGGAUUAGUGAGCUAAAGAACCUAUGUUGGGCUCUGAGAGCUCGUUGGCCAUGGCUGCAGAAAACAGACCCCAGUAGGCCUUGGACGGACUUCCCCACUCGUGUAUGUAAGGUGGUUAAAAAUCUGAUCGCUGCAGCCAUUAUUACUAAGCUCGGUGAUGGAGCCAAUACCCUCUUCUGGAAGGAUAGAUGGUUGGAUGGGAAAUGUAUUAAGGACAUAGCUCCUGCAGUGUUUGAUUUGGUGCCCCCGCGUCUUGCCAACAGACGGUUGGUCAAAGAUGCGCUCCCUAAUUUUCAGUGGAUCUCCGAUGUGAAUGGGGCAAUUUCAGUUAGAGUCAUUGCUGAAUUCUUGGAACUUUGUGAAGUGCUUGAUGCAGUUGUGCUCCAACCUGGAAUAAGGGAUCGCCACUUAUGGAAAUUCAGCGCUUCAGGGGAGUAUACAACUAGUUCUGCUUAUAAAGCUCUCUUCCUUGGUUCGGUUCAGUUCGAACCAGCAGAACGUGUGUGGAAAUCUUGGGCUCCUGGAAAGUGCAAGUUCUUUAUAUGGCUUGUGGAACAUAAUAGGUGCUGGACUGCUGACAGGCUUAUAAAAAGAGGACUAGACCGACCUGAGCAGUGCCCCCUGUGCGACCAAGAGGCUGAAACCAUAAAUCAUUUGCUGGUCAAAUGUGUUUUUGCCAUACAGUUCUGGUUUCAUUUCCUUAGUUCAGUGGGGCUGCAGGAACUGUAUCCAGCUCAUGAGGAUUCCUUUGAGUCGUGGUGGAAGUCUAGCAGCUCUCAGGCAUCUGAUUUUUUGAGAAAAAGUUUUAAUUCUUUAGUGAUCCUAGGUGCUUGGACCAUUUGGAAGCAUAGGAAUAGAUGCGUCUUUGAUGGUUGUAAUCCCAGCCUGGUCACAGCCCUUAGAGUGGCUAGGGAAGAGGCGGUGCUAUGGUCCUUGACUGGAGCCAAGGCCCUGUCCUUCCUCCAAGUUGAUGAGUUGCUAGCUUAGAUCAGCGUUGUGGGUCGUGUUUCCUCCAUGAUAGUCGGUGAUCCUUAGUCUCUAAGUGGUGUGUGUGUUCUGUACCGGGGUUCUCUCCCCCUUUCCUAUUCUUCUAUUAAUGCAAUGAUGCGCAGCUCUCCUGCGUAUUCCAGAAAAAAAAAAUUGUAUUCGUAUGACUGUAUACUCAAAGAGCUCUGUCAUUCCCAUCCACUGCUCUGAGGAAGACAUUAGCCGCACUAGAGACAUCCUCUCUUGCUCGGUAGGCAGCUUCCCAUGCUCCUACCUUGGCAUACCCCUUACUCUUGCUAAACCAACUAAAGCUGAUUUGCUACCUUUGAUUGAUAAGGUUGCAAUCAAAUUGCUGGGGUGGAAGGUCCAUCUCUUGAAUAAAGCAGGCCGGCUAGAGUUAGUUAAAUCAGCUCUUUUAGCAACACCUAUUCAUUUGAUGCUUGCGCUUGAUUUGCCCAAAUGGGUUAUUAAAGCAAUUGACAAAAGAAGGCGGGGUUUUCUCUGGAAAGGGCAAGAGCAAGCAAAUGGAGGCAAUUGUAUGGUGUCCUGGCGAAAAGUGCAGCGGCCGUACCAGUACGGUGGUCUUGGUAUCCAUGAUCUGGAAAGGAUGGGGUGGACUCUACGCUUACGAUGGCUCUGGUUCAUGAAAACGGACACCUCGAAACCUUGGUUUCCCUGCACAAGCAGCAGCCUUGUUCAAAAUGGCAGUUGAAGUUACCAUUGGCAAUGGUGAGGAUACUCUUUUUUGGACAGAAAAAUGGUUGCAGGGCAGAUGUGUGGCUGAUUUAGCCCCCGAGCUCUACCAUGCAAUUCCCAAGAGAGUAGCUAAAAGGCGUACAGUGAAUCAGGCUCUUUCCAACAGAUGUUGGAUCUCAGGUAUCAAGGGAGCCUUAACAGUUCAGGUGUUGGCUGGUUACCUCCAUAUUUGGGAUCUGGUGGAGGGUGCUGUCCUUCAACUUGACACACCAGAUAAGCAUGUUUGGAGGCUUUCUUCUACUGGGUGCUAGAGCAGCAAAUCUGCCUAUAACGCAAUGUUCGUUGGCACCAUCAAAUUCUCCCCUUGGAAGCGGAUUUGGAAAACUUGGGCACCAUGAAAUUCUUCUACUGGGUGGAGGGUUCUCUCUUAAUGAAAUGGCGCGCAGUUCGAUAAAAAAUUGUAUAUUUAAGAUGUUGAUAUCCAUUCAAAUCUUAUUUGACGCAACUCGAUAACAUCCGUAUCCAAUCCGAAUCCGAAGAGAAAAUAUAAAAACAAAUAUGAAACGAGUAAUAUCCGGAUAUGUGAUUAGCCGAUUACACCCCUAGCCUUAAGUGCUCAGUGCUCUUGGGGAUCUUCCUACCAUCCCUGUGCACCCCUAGCCUUAAAGCAACGAUGGAUCAGGACUGAAUUUGGAGAGGCUGAAUGGCCUGAAUCUGGGGGAGGGGAGGAGGUCGAGUUGGAUUUCUCAGGAAAAUUGGAGGAGCUCGUCAAGGAUGUAAGUUGGCUGGAUGUGUUAGGUUUAUACUACAAAACCCUUUUGCCAUGUUGGCGUAUUGCAUGGGCGGCUGCUAAAGAAAUUACCUUCAAGGUGAAAGGGGAUAAUCUGCUUCCAAGGAGAGGGGCUCAGGGGCGCCUGUUGUCCUCGGGGAGUAUGAUGGGUCUCCAACAAACUGGAUAGGAUUCUGGUUUGGGCUUGUACCCUAGGAAUCCCCAAAAGGAACUCGUUGAAAAGGUUGCUAAAAAGGUUGGUGACCCACUGAUCACUGUUGUUGUGUGUCAUGGACCUUCGGUCCAUGGGGAUAGAUGUCUUCUCCGGCGAGGUUAUACCCCUCUGCCGCAGGCUUGGUUCUAGGGUAGCAGCCCUAGGCGCUUGAGAGGGUCAUUGCAAGAGAGAGAGAUUGGUUUGAUAAUGAUCUUGCUUGAUUUAUUCCCUGCUGCCAUGCGGCUUAUAAAUAGCUCUAUGGCUAACCAACUUCUCCUACAAACUCUCAACUAACUCCUACUUUCUUGGACUUAUCUGAUGCUAACCAACUCUCCACAAUUCUCUCAUUUCAAUCUUAUUCUCUAACCUUAUCCCAGCUCAUCUCAAUCUUAUUCUCUAGCCUUAUCCCAGCCUGGCUGUUGCCUCUCGCUCCCUAUUGUGUCCAUGACAUCUCCCCCUCCCUUGAGGACCAGCUCGUCCUCGAGCUGCCAUAGACUUACCUGACACGACUUAAGGUUAAGCCUUUUACAUCUCGGCUUACCUUUAUUAUUUAAGACGAAAAAACAAAAUAAUUGUGGAACUAAAAUAUAAAUUUGAACUGCAGUAUGUCCUCCUGUCCUCCUGGAUCCCAAGGAAAGAGCUGAACUGCGGACUUCACGUUGGAUGAAAGGUGAAGGAGGAACCAACCCGUUCUUAUGUUGGGUCUGUCCAGCACCAAGGCAGUUGCCCGAAUGAAGGAGACGAUCCUCUUUGGCCGUGCAGGGGCGCUGCAUACCCAGAUCUCGACUUCUGCAGGGGGUUCAAAAAGUAUAGACGAGACCUGGUGGUUGGGCGCGCAGGCUGCGAGUUGGUGCAGCGAUGAGCUGAUCAGCAAGUGCAGCUUCCGCACCGCCCGCCUAACAAGGAAGCCGCGCACUGCGGCUUGCAGGCGCACCACGGCCUGCUCAUGUGAUGACGGCCAUGGGGUGGCCCUGGAGGCCACAGCAAGGUGCUUCUCCCCACGAAAGGACUGUACCUGGCGGCGUGCCAGGAACCCUCGCGCUGCCGCCUGAAGCCGCACCGCUGCUUGGAGUUCCUUCUCUGUCUUCUCCUUGUAGCGGUGGAACAUCACAACAAAUUGAUCCCACUUCUCUUCGAGCCGAGUGAAUGCAUCUGGAGUUGGAGAGGGCGGGUGGGAGGGCGUUGCGGCGGCGGAUGGCGCGGCGGCUGGUGGUGGUGAGGGAUGGGCGGCUGGUGGUGGUGAGGAUAACCUGGAGCUGAUACCAGGUGUCAUGGACCUUCGGUCCAUGGGGAUAGCUGUCUUCUUCGGCGAGGUUAUACCCCUCUGUCGCAGGCUUGGUUUUAGGGUAGCAGCCCUAGGCGCUUGAGAGGGUCAUUUAAAGGGGGAGAGAUUGGUUUGAUAAUGAUCUUUGCUUGAUUUAUUCCCUGCUGCCAUGCGGCUUAUAAAUAGCUCUAUGGCUAACCAACUUCUCCUACAAACUCUCAACUAACUCCUACUUUCUUGGACUUAUCUGAUGCUAACCAACUCUCCACAAUUCUCUCAUUUCAAUCUUAUUCUCUAACCUUAUCCCAGCUCAUCUCAAUCUUAUUCUCUAGCCUUAUCCCAGCCUGGCUGUUGCCUCUCGCUCCCUAUUGUGCCCAUGACAUCUGCCUCGACGCCCAACGUCGCUGGACCGCGGCUACGCAGUUCGUAGUCGCGCUCCAGACCUUCACCGUGAGGGAUUCCUCACCGGUGGCUUGAGAGAGACAAGGGAGAAGAGCAGUUUUGGAUAAUUGAUCUUGCUUGAUUCAUUCCCUGCUGCCAUGCGGCUUAUAAAUAGCCCUAUGGCUAACCAACUUCUCCUACAAACUCUCAACUAACUCCUACUUUCUUGGACUUAUCUGAUGCUAACCAACUCUCCACAAUUCUCUCAUCUCAAUCUUAUUCUCUAGCCUUAUCCCAGCUCAUCUCAAUCUUAUUCUCUAGCCUUAUCCCCGCCUGGCUGUUGCCUCUCGCUCCCUAUGAUGCCCAUGACAUCUCCCCCUCCCUUGAGGACCAGCUCGUCCUCGAGCUGCCAUAGACUUACCUGACACGACUUAAGGUUAAGCCUUUUACAUCUCGGCUUACCUUUAUUAUUUAAGACGAAAAUACAAAAUAAUUGUGGAACUAAAAUAUAAAUUUGAACUGCAGCUAUGUCCUCCUGUCCUCCUGGAUCCCAAGGAAAGAGUUGAACUGCGGACUUCACGUUGGAUGAAAGGUGAAGGAGGAACCAGCCCGUUCUUAUGUUGGGUUUGUCCAGCACCAAGGCAGUUGCCCGAAUGAAGGAGACGACCCUCUUUGAUCGUGCAGGGGGGCUGCAUACCCAGAUCUCGACUUCUGCAGGGGGUUCAAAAAGUAUAGACGAGACCUGGUGGUUGGGCGUGCAGGCUGCGAGUUGGUGCAGCGAUGAGCUGAUCAGCAAGUGCAGCUUCCGCACCGCCCG